GUUGAAUGUAGCUAAAUGUGUAAGAUGUGUCUUGUCAAGUGAAUUUUCCGUCGUUAUAAUGUGUCAAUAAAGGAUUAAAAGCUAAGUAAAUUUCAAUUACUCUUCUUUAGAAGCUGAGAAGGUCAAGAACCAGUUCUCUAACUGGAAGUGUUGCACUGCGACCAGUGAUUUCGAAGACAAAAAUCGGGUAAAGAUUUUUAAGUCUGAUAAUAAGGCGGCGUCAGCAAUAUUAAAUAGUUGAAGACUCUAACCUUAACUACAGGAUAGACAUGAACGAAAAAUCCACCCUGGAGCUAAAAUUGUAUAAAAU